UACGUAGGGGGCAAGCGUUGUCCGGAUUUAUUGGGCGUAAAGAGCGUGUAGGCGGCCAUACAGGUCAGCUGUGAAAACUCGAGGCUCAACCUCGAGACGUCGGUUGAAACCGUAUGGCUAGAGUCCGGAAGAGGAGAGUGGAAUUCCUGGUGUAGCGGUGAAAUGCGCAGAUAUCAGGAGGAACACCCGUGGCGAAGGCGGCUCUCUGGGACGGUACUGACGCUGAGACGCGAAAGCGUGGGGAGCGAACAGG
rnacentral:rRNA from 1 species